rnacentral:tRNA from 1 species
GCCCCAGUAGCUCAGUGGCCAGAGCAAUCGCCUUGUAAGCGAUAGGUCGUCAGUUCGAUCCUGACCUGGGGCU